rnacentral:rRNA from 1 species
GCGGAACACGUACACAACCUUCCUUUUAGUGGGGAAUAGCCCAGAGAAAUUUGGAUUAAUACCCCGUAACAUAGCGAUGUGGCAUCACAUUGCUAUUAUAGCUUCGGCGCUAGAUGAUGGGUGUGCGUAUGAUUAGAUAGUUGGCGAGGUAACGGCUCACCAAGUCUACGAUCAUUAGCUGAUGUGAGAGCAGGAUCAGCCACACGGGCACUGAGACACGGGCCCGACUCCUACGGGAGGCAGCAGUAAGGAAUAUUGGUCAAUGGACGAAAGUCUGAACCAGCCAUGCCGCGUGAAGGAUUAAGGUCCUCUGGAUUGUAAACUUCUUUUAUAUGGGACGAAAAAAGGUCUUUCUAGAUCACUUGACGGUACCAUAUGAAUAAGCACCGGCUAACUCCGUGCCAGCAGCCGCGGUAAUACGGAGGGUGCAAGCGUUAUCCGGAUUCACUGGGUUUAAAGGGUGCGUAGGCGGGCAGGUAAGUCAGUGGUGAAAUCCUGGAGCUCAACUCCAGAACUGCCAUUGAUACUAUCUGUCUUGAAUAUUGUGGAGGUAAGCGGAAUAUGUCAUGUAGCGGUGAAAUGCUUAGAUAUGACAUAGAACACCCAUUGCGAAGGCAGCUUACUAC